rnacentral:tRNA from 1 species
GCACGACCUUGCCAAGGUCGGGGUCGCGAGUUCGAGUCUCGUUUCCCGCUCCAA